GAAAUGCGAUAAGUAGUGUGAAUUGCAGAAUUCAGUGAAUCAUCGAAUCUUUGAACGCACAUUGCGCCCUUUGGUAUUCCAAAGGGCAUGCCUGUUCGAGCGUCAUUUGUACCCUCAAGCUUUGCUUGGUGUUGGGCGUCUUGUCUCCAGUUCGCUGGAGACUCGCCUUAAAGUAAUUGGCAGCCGGCCUACUGGUUUCGGAGCGCAGCACAAGUCGCGCUCUCUUCCAGCCAAUGUCAGCAUCCACAAAGCCUUUUUUCAACUUUUGACCUCGGAUCAGGUAGGGAUACCCGCUGAACUUAAGC
rnacentral:misc_RNA from 1 species